CUUUGUAACUGCGGGAGCUUUGGCGGACAAACCCUAUCCAAACCACAGCAGGAGGCUAUGUCACAUUUUAAUUCAACUCAAUUACUGGUUGUGGAAAACAUUGAUUUUUGUGGGCCACAAAGGAGUCCUCAGCCCUGGAAUGCAGACCUAAGAGUUGGAGGACAGCUGGAACACCCUGAAAGUUCUGAUGUCCCUUUCUUCAUGUUUUGAAGCCUGACUCUUCAGAUAAUUUAUCUUGCUACUUAAGGAUUAUGCUUCACAACUUGUGGUAAGAAAACAUAUACAAAAUGAGAUUUUACACCUUCAUUAUAGUUAAACUUCAUGUUCAAAUUGAUGUAUAGUCUUUGUAUGCAAUAUAGAUUACAAAGGUAAUAGUUAUAAAAUUCUAGCCUUCCUUUGACUAUGACCUAAAGAAUGUAUAGUUUAUUGUUAAUAUGUUCCCAACAAUUAAAAAUUGCUAAGUAAUGGAUUAAUUUGCACACUAAGAUUAAAGAAGAAGAGAAAAGAGAGUGGAAACAAUGGCAUGGAAUCAUCUCAUCUUGUGGGACGGUAUGUCUGAUCUAGUGAUAUUUGAACUAAGAGGCAAAAGAAGAGAAACUAACCACAUAUAUUAGUCAAGAAAAGAGCUCUCCACAGAGGCAACUGGAAGUACAAAGAAAGAAAGAAAGAAAGAAAGAAAGAAAGAAAGAAAGAAAGAAAGAAAAAAAUAAUCAAGUGUUUAAGGGACUAAAAGAAAACUGGUGAAAUCAGAAAGCUAUCAACAAAGUGGGAAAUUUGAUAACACUGAGACUUCAUAGGCCACAUGCCAGUCAGAUUCUCGGUUGCAAACAAUGGAAGCAGCAGCUAUGUCUGAACAUGUCCCCAUGCACACCCAACAUUGAUGCAUUGGAAACUUAAUCUUCAGUGCAAUUGUUUAGGGAAUGGGGUCUUGUAGGAGGUUCUUAGGUCAUAGGGCCUCAGCGUUCGUGGAUAGAGCGAUGCUUCUGUAUAAAGGAUUGUGGGAGUCGGUUCACUCUCUUCCUCUUCUACCUUCCAUUAUGUGAGAACACUGCCAGAAAGCUGUAUUAGGUGCCAGCACCUUGAUCUUGAACUUCCCAGCCUUCAGGAUAGUCAGAAAUGAAGGUAUGUUGUUUAUAAAUGACCUGGUCCAUGGUAUUUUGUUACAGCAGCACAAAAUAGACUAAGAUAGCAGUGAUAGUCAUCCUAAGCAAAAUAAUAGAGGAUAACAUGCAUAAUUAAUAGGAAACAUGGAGAAAUAGCCUUGGAAAAUGAUCAGGAACUAAGGGAUGGUAAAAGGAGAAAUAAUCUCUUCAGGAUAUUGCUGGUGUUUGAACCUUCACUGGAUAGUUAAUUCUGCCAAUUGGUGUCAAUCACCUCUAUAGAUUUAUGGUUUUCUCUCAGACCCAGAAUCUCCUCUGCAGGGGUGGAACUGGCCAAACAUAAGUUGAGAGUGUAUAUGCUAUUGUCAGAGGAUGGAAAAGGAGUGUUUAGGUCCUUGGAUUCAGGAGGACUCAUACAAUGGUAAUCUCCUUUCAUAUAGGAGAAUUUAGCUUUUGGAGUACUUAAUGAUCAUGAACACAUAGAAAGGGACUUAGCUUUAUUUAAAUGCAAUGGGAGGUCAGUAACAGUUCUAAGGUGAGGCAGCAUAAUUUUGUUUUAUGUAGACCUCAUCUCAGCUGCUACUAUUGAACAUGUCUGGGGAUAAAUGAAAUUACACUCUAAUCUUUGACAAGAAAAUAGCCCUAAAUAGUUGAAAUAAAUGUCUGUAGUAGAAUAAUAUCUUUUUGUAUACAGUAACUAGAAUUUAAAACUUGAUCAAUUAAGGUAUAAGAGCUUUGAAUUAUUUUUUAUUUUAGAUUUUAACUGCUUCUAGUUUCUGAUCUAUUGAAAGGUAGAAAGUGAGGAGGGUUUAGAUAUGAAGUUCACUUUGACUCUGGAGGACUAGAGCAGGAGAUCAAAGAACAAAACAAGACUAUAUAAAGCACUGAGGUCCACACCAAAAACUUAGUAAGGUUUCAGUAAAACUCAGAAAUGACACUGGACAGAACUUUUUUUUUUUUUUUAAUAAAGAACACAAAGCUGCAAACAAAUCAUUUGGCCCUGUGAACAGUGGUAUGUUAAAAAUUGCUACUCUUUUCAUUGUGCCUUCUUUGAAAGAAAAUUGUGGAAAAGAAAUAAUUUAAAAUACCAUUUUUUUCUGGAAUUGCAGAUUUUCAAAAUCACUGCAGAUGCGAUAUAAAUUCUUAGUGGAUGUCUUAAAGUAAAAUUCCAAUUGAGAAAGGACUGAAAUUCACUGCCCAUUAGUUUUUCAAAAUGCACAAUAAGGAAAUAAUUUAGAAGGGAAAAAGUCUCCAAUUUUCUUUGAUAGUCAGUGUCACAGUAGUAAAAUGCAGGUAGCUAAUAUAUUUUAAAAGCACUGGGUUAGUAACCCUGACAUGAUCUAAUGAAUUUGCUAGGUGAUUAAUAAUUCAUAAAACAGUCUUUUUGUAACAAAAAAUGAAAGUUUCCCUGAAUGUAUGCUUGAGAUAAAAAUAAAUGG